rnacentral:rRNA from 1 species
GUCUACAGCCAUGCCACCCUGAACAAGCCCGAUCCCAUCUGAUCUCGGAAGCUAAGCCUGGUUAGUACUUGGAUGGGACACUACCUAGGAAGACCAGGUGCUGUAGGUG